rnacentral:tRNA from 1 species
GGUCUUGUAUUCACUUUGUGAUUACGGAAUGCAAUUCUGUAGGGGUAGUAUCAAAUCUAUCAAGGCCU